rnacentral:siRNA from 1 species
UAGAUUUUUCAGAUACCACUU